rnacentral:lncRNA from 1 species
GCAGAGCUUCUAGUACUGUAUUCAUGGCAGAUGCAGAGCGAGUGACUGACACGUUCCAGGGCCGGCGAAUCGCGGCAAGCGCGGGCGGCAGGGAGGGCUGUAGUGGCAGACCGCCGCUGGGAUUAUGAAUGGGGGCGGGGGGGGGCCGGCGAGUGUGGGUUCACACCAGGAUUUUCGGCAUCCGGCUUUGGAUAGGCACGCAGGGCUGUGCGUAAUCCUUCAGCUCUGGUGGGAAGGGAGAUGCUGUGAGCUCCUGGCUGGGAGUGGGGGUUAUUUUGCAAAACUCCCUUGGUAUCGCGCCGGCGGAGUACUGCGGGAGGUCGGCGAGCCAGGACAUGCUCCCAGUUGAAGGCACAUGAAUUUAUCCAGUAAGUUCUCACACUCAAAGUGUCAUGAAACAUAAAUUUAUUUCCGUGGCUAAGACCUCACAGAAAUACUCUUGCAUGCCAAAGGGUCUUCUGAUGUUACCCUGAAACAUCGUGUCUAUCUGCCUGUCACAAAUUUUCUUACCACAGCAUCUUCCUCCAUGUAUCACAUCCUUGGUAUGUUAAAUUUCUUUCCAUGUUUUUGCAUACCAUAUUGUUCUCCACUAUCUCCGCUGAACAAAUCUCCUUACUAUAUAAACCAGAAAGAAACCUCACUUCCUUCCCAAAGGCUUCCCUGAAACCCAACACCAACUGUUUCUUCAUCUCUUAGAGGAGUUUUAUUCACAUACAGGAUUUUAGCACUUGAUUAUAUUCUUUGAUUCACUCAUUUUACAAUUAUUUUCAAGCACUACUAUGCACCAAGUACAUAUUUAAUAUAUUUAGGUCUUUCCUUCCAAACUAGACCUACAAUUCUUGAGGGCCAGAUUUGCAGGGAGCUUCAUUUGGAUCCUAUUAUGCUUUGCGCACAACUCCAAAGAUACAGUUAGGGUCUUGCUCUUCAUUUCUGCUGGGGAAACAUGAGCGUUGUUCCUCUCUAAUGAAGGUAGUCUAGAGAGUUCCACUCUAGUUGUGUGUUUUAUCCUAUUUUUAAGUGCAUUUCCUGCCCAGCGAAUUGGAUAAGAUAAAAAAGUAAAUUUUGCUUCAUAGACUUUUCCAACUAAUGCAGUCUGUGAAGCCAUUUGUUUUAGAGCUCACUUUGCUUUCUGAAUUUCUUCACAGAAACACCUCCCUCCUAAUUAUGAUUCUUUGAAAUUGACUGCAAAUAACACGGGCAUCUCGAUAGUUCUGAUGCUAAACAUAUCAGUCAAAUGUGUUUCAUUUUGCACCAGGAUAGGAUACAAUGCUGCAUGGAUUCUAUUAACUGGGUGAAUUCAGUUGACAGUCUUUUAAUAGGUAUUUAGGAAACCAUAUAAUUUAUGAAGUAGCUAUGGCCUAGACUUGGGCCCUAGCCCGUCACUGUUCCUUAGUUUCUUCGUUCGAGAUAAGUAGAUAUUGUUUACUUCACAAAGAGAUAGUUCCCCAAAUAUAUGACACAAGAAGUUUUGUAGAAAUAAAGUAACUUAAAAAAUAAAUUAAUAUUCUCA